UUCGGCCCUCGGCUGACGGCUCAGUAACACGUGGAUAAUCUGCCCUUAGGUGGAGGAUAAUCUCGGGAAACUGAGGACAAUACUCCAUAGGUUUAGGAGGCUGGAAUGCAUCUAGACUGAAAGCUCCGGCGCCUAAGGAUGAGUCUGCGGACUAUCAGGUAGUAGUCAGGGUAAAGACCUGACUAGCCUACGACGGAUACGGGUUGUGAGAGCAAUAACCCGGAGACGAUAUCUGAGACACGAUAUCGGGCCCUACGGGGCGCAGCAGGCGCGAAAACUUCACACUGUGCGAAAGCACGAUGAGGGAAUCCCAAGUGCUUGCUCGUAAGAGUAAGCUGUUUCUCUGUCUAAAACGCAGAGAGAGUAAGAGCUGGGUAAGACGGGUGCCAGCCGCCGCGGUAAUACCUGCAGCUCAAGUGGUGGCCGCUAUUAUUGGGCCUAAAACGUCCGUAGCCGGUUUAGUAAAUGCCUGGGUAAAUCGUGUAGCUUAACUAUACGAAUUCCGGGUAGACUGCUAAACUUGAGACCGGGAGAAGCCAGAGGUACUCCUAGGGUAGAGGUGAAAUUCUGUAAUCCUAGGGGGACCACCAGUGGCGAAGGCGUCUAGCUAGAACGGGUCUGACGGUGAGGGACGAAACCCUGGGGCGCAAACCGGAUUAGAUACCCGGGUAGUCCAGGGCGUAAACGCUGCUUGCUUGAUGUUAGUUGGGCUCCGAGCCCAAUUAGUGUCGGAGAGAAGUUGUUAAGCAAGCUGCCUGGGAAGUACGGUCGCAAGGCUGAAACUUAAAGGAAUUGG
rnacentral:rRNA from 1 species